GUUUUCUCUGUUGGUCUUUCCUAUCUCUUAAAUUCUGCAACCUUAAGAGAGUUCAAAUAUAAAUAGCACGGUAUGCUGGAGCUAAGUGGAGAAAUGAUAGGGAUGGGAUUAGAAUUAUUCUAGCACCUCCCAUGUUCCCUCGGCACAGACUUCUUAGUCGUAGGAACUUCUGCUGUUCCUAUUAGGACUGGCUCUUUCUUCAGGAUUGUACAGGUUCAUAUUUUGUUAUGGAUUGCUGUCACACAAGUACAGCCUGUGAAUAUUGCCGAGCCAAACAAGACAGGUGGAGUUUCAAAAUGGCUAAUGGUUCUGGUGAGACGGUCCACAGGUGAAUCAUUCCAAGGCUGAAUCAUAGUAGCAGAAGGGUUUUGCGGAGCAAAGCUGAG
rnacentral:lncRNA from 1 species